GUGUGUGUGUAGUUUGUGUAGUGUGUGUAGUGUGUGUGUAGUGUGUGUAGUGUGUGUGUAGUGUGUGUAGUGUGUAUGUAGUGUGUGUAGUGUGUGUGUAGUGUGUAUGUAGUGUGUGUAGUGUGUGUGUAGUGUGUGUAGUGUAUAUGUAUUGUGUGUAGUGUGUUUAAUGUAUGUGUAGCUUGUGUAGUGUGUGUAGUGUGUAUGUAGUGUGUGUGUAGUUUGUGUAGUGUGUGUAGUGUGUGUGUAGUGUGUGUGUAGUGUGUGUGUAGUGUGUGUAGUGUGUGUGUAGUGUGUAUGUAGUGUGUGUAGUGUGUAUGUAGUGUGUGUAGUGUGUGUGUAGUGUGUAUGUAGUGUGUGUAGUGUGUGUGUAGUGUGCAUGUAGUGUGUGUAGUGUGUGUGUAGUGUGUGUAGUGUGUGUGUAGUGUGUAUGUAGUGUGUGUAGUGUGUGUGUAGUGUGUAUGUAGUGUGUGUAGUGUGUAUGUAGUGUGUGUAGUGUGUGUGUAGUGUGUAUGUAGUGUGUAUGUAGUGUGUGUGUAGUGUGUAUGUAGUGUGUGUAGUGUGUAUGUAGUGUGUGUAGUGUGUGUAGUGUGUGUGUAGUGUGCAUGUAGUGUGUGUAGUGUGUGUGUAGUGUGUGUAGUGUAUAUGUAUUGUGUGUAGUGUGUUUAAUGUAUGUUGUGCAUGUAGUGUGUGUAGUGUGUGUGUAGUGUGUGUAGUGUAUAUGUAUUGUGUGUAGUGUGUUUAAUGUAUGUGUAGCUUGUGUAGUGUGUGUAGUGUGUAUGUAGUGUGUGUGUAGUUUGUGUAGUGUGUGUAGUGUGUGUAGUGUGUAUGUAGUGUGUGUAGUGUGUGUGUAGUGUGUAUGUAGUGUGUGUAGUGUGCAUGUAGUGUGUGUAGUGUGUGUGUAGUGUGUGUAGUGUGUGUAGUGUAUGUAGUGUGUGUGUAGUGUGUAUGUAGUGUGUGUGUAGUGUGUGUAGUUUGUGUGUAGUGUGUAUGUAGUGUGUGUGUAGUGUGUAUGUAGUGUGUGUGUAGUGUGUGUGUAGUGUGUGUGUAGUGUGUAUGUAGUGUGUGUGUAGUGUGUAUGUAGUGUGUGUGUAGUGUGUAUGUAGUGUGUGUAGUGUGUGUGUAGUGUGUAUGUAGUGUGUGUGUAGUGUGUGUGUAGUUUG
ensembl:lncRNA